ACUACGUGCCAGCAGCCACGGUAAUACGUAGGUGGCAAGCGUUGUCCGGAUUUACUGGGCGUAAAGGGAGCGUAGGUGGAUAUUUAAGUGGGAUGUGAAAUACUCGGGCUUAACCUGGGUGCUGCAUUCCAAACUGGAUAUCUAGAGUGCAGGAGAGGAAAGUAGAAUUCCUAGUGUAGCGGUGAAAUGCGUAGAGAUUAGGAAGAAUACCAGUGGCGAAGGC
rnacentral:rRNA from 1 species